AGCUGCAGAUGUCCCUAGGAGCUCUUGGUUGGAUUCUGGUUCUGAAGAGGAGGAGGUUUCGGUGCCUGCAGUUCCCCAGCGGUCCGGUGAGUGGUUACAUUGCGCCGGCGUGCCAGGGACUGGGGCCCAAGAUCAGGCUAGUGAGUGCUUGCGCCUGCUUAGGACCCUAGUGGCCACUUUCCCUUCCUAUCUUACUGGGUUGGAUACUAGACAGGUUCAGGGACAGG